AAUCAACGCUGGCGGCGUGCCUCAGACAUGCAAGUCGAACGAUUAAACUUUCCUUCGGGAAAGAUAUAAAGUGGCGCACGGGUGAGUAACACGUAAGUAAUCUACCUUCGAGUGGGGAAUAACAUCGGGAAACCGAUGCUAAUACCGCAUAAUGCAGCGGCAUCGAAAGAUGACAGUUGUUAAAGGAGCAAUUCGCUUGAAGAGGAGCUUGCGGCAGAUUAGCUAGUUGGUAAGGUAAUGGCUUACCAAGGCUACGAUCUGUAUCCGGUCUAAGAGGACGGUCGGACACACUGACACUGAAUAACGGGUCAGACUCCUACGGGAGGCAGCAGUCGGGAAUUUUGGGCAAUGGGCGAAAGCCUGACCCAGCAACGCCGCGUGAGGGAGGAAAUCCUUCGGGAUGUAAACCUCACAAGCAAGGGAAGAGCGCAUGAAGGAGAAUACCCUUCAUGCCCGACGGUACCUUGCGUAAGCCACGGCUAACUACGUGCCA
rnacentral:rRNA from 1 species